UACGUAGGUGGCGAGCGUUGUCCGGAAUUACUGGGUGUAAAGGGCGCGUAGGUGGGGAUAUAAGUCAGAUGUGAAAUUCCUAGGCUUAACUUGGGCGCUGCAUCUGAAACUAUAUUUCUUGAGUGCUGGAGAGGGAAGCGGAAUUCCCAGUGUAGCGGUGAAAUGCGUAGAUAUUGGGAGGAACACCAGUGGCGAAGGCGGCUUCCUGGACAGUAACUGACACUGAGGCGCGAAAGCGUGGGGAG
rnacentral:rRNA from 1 species